rnacentral:lncRNA from 1 species
UAACAUUUUAAUUUUUUUAUUUUUUGGAAUCUUUGCAGGCAUUGUAAGCAUUUAUUAAUUUUUUUGUGUGUGUUACUUUUCUUAUAGGUGUUACCUCAUUUUGAAAGUCUUGGGAAACAGGAAAAAAUUCCUAACAAAAUGUCAGCUUUUCGAAAUCAUUGUCCACAUUUGGAUUCAGUUGGUGAAAUAACAAAAGAAGAUUUGAUACAAAAAUCCCUUGUAAGAAACAGGUUUUUUCUUCCUUGAAAAACUAUUCACUUUUCUCUUGAAUGUGUAAUUUUCAUAAAUUACUGUAAUACUCUAUGAGCAGUAUUUUAAAAAUAUGUAUGAUGUCAUUAGUGCAUUAGUGAAUUGUAUGUGUUUGUGUCAAUAUAACCAAUGUUGUCUUUUUAAUUUCUUUUUAUAGGGUACUUGUCAGGAUUGUAAAGUCCAAGGACCAAAUCUUUGGGCAUGUCUGGAGGUGUGUAUAUGUUUUUUCCUGAAAAGAUUGCUAUAAUAAUAAUAAAUU